rnacentral:misc_RNA from 1 species
GUUAUAAUUUAGUAAUGUUAACAUUUAAGUCUUUCCAACCAUAUUUAAUCAAUUUCACUUUUUUUUUAGAACUUUGGUCAUAAUUGAAAGGACUAAAAUAUUAUUUCCUAUCCUUUGCGUCACGCUCGCCUCUAUUUUCUCUCUCCUCGUUUCUCUCUCUCUCUCUCCUUCCUCGUCUUUCUUACUCAAGUUUCUCCACAUUGGCAAUUUAAGAGUAUCUAUCUUGCGGAGAACUCGUUUCGUCGGCUCAUUUACCUUAUCUUCCAUGGCCCACGUGUAAGUUGGAGGGCGUAAUACAAGGAACUGAACAUAGU